GUUCCGGAAGGAAGUGGUUCCGGGUCCCGCGGCCCGGCUGAGGUAGCCGUGUUGCCGUUUCUGUGGGAGGCGGCGGCCGUGUGAGGGGCGAGGCCCGAGGGGCCGGCAGCGGCGGCGGCGGCAGUCGCGGCGGCGGCGAUAGCGGGAACUUCUCGGUCCGGCUACAGAAUAUCCAGGCAGCUAGAGGACAUAAAAGCUGCUUUCCAAAUUUAGACGGCAAUUUUAGAUGUGAUGCAGGAUGUCAACUAUUCUCAAGUGUGCUAAAGUCCAAUUCUGCUGACCAGGCAGUCACUUCAGAGUCCUCUUUCUGAAGUGUAAAAAGAGGAUAGUGGCUCACGUGUCAAAGGAUGGCACGGUCACGCUCUAGAUCCCCCAGGUGGAGGCACAGGUCUUUAUCGCCAGUGCCUAGAAGUUCUGAACACUACAAGCAAAGAUAUGAGCAUUAUGGCUACGACUAUAGGAAGGAUCCCAAAAGACCCAUCACUUGGAGAAUGGACGAUGAGAAAUAUGGACAGAGCAAACCAAGGAUUUCUUCUCAUGAAAAUAUACAUUACCGAUCUUACGAGCAUAGAUCACCUUCCCCAAACAUAAGAGGAAACUCUUCAGAAAAGUUUUAUACUUAUAAGCCUCCCCAAGUAUAUUUACCAGAAAGAGGAGAUGAUAGUAACAGAAGAGCUCAGUAUGUGCCCAGACACUCAGAAGGUAUGUUCUACAGAGAGCACCAGAGGAGUUGUUAUCCCCAGAAAGCACAAGGAAGAUAUAUUCCUGAUGACCGCAGAAAUAGAAGAAGUGAAAAAGGAGGGACACCAUCUGUGAGAUCAACAACAGAUUCUUUUAGAUUCGAAGGACAUUGGCAUGAAGAUGAACCGAGGUACCAGAGGAUACAAGAUGAAAAAUACUCUCAGUCACUUAGAAGAGGCUCUGAAGAUUUUGAGAAAAGGAGCUCUUUUCAGAAGAGGUAUCCUGAGGAUCAUGAUUUCAGAAAAUAUGGACACACAUCAAAAAGACCUCACGAUGUGGAGAGGUAUGAAAACAGAGAGCCUGCCAGGAGCCCACAGUGGAAAUCCAGGCAUUUUUCUUCUCCUUACCAAGAGAAGAAAGAUCAGCGGAACCUUGAAACCCAAACUUAUCGAUAUGCUCCAAGGGAGUUCCCAGAGACCAGUUCAGCAGCCAAGGUAUCCUGUGAUUCUCGCCACAAAUAUCGGAAGACCUCAGAUGGCGACAAGGACUUUUAUGAUGGAAGAGCUCAGAAGUACCCUAAGGAGGAAGAUAGAAAAUUGGGUUCUCAAAAAGGCCCUGUGAACAGAGAGUCCAGUUGUUCUCAUGCUGGAAGAGGGAGAGAGACUGAAGGUGGGCAGGUCAGAGAAUCUUCUAAGCCAUCUAAGAAAGACUGUGCUGCCUUAACCCAUUCAGAUAAAAGUGAUGUUGAUUCGAGAUCCUGUAAGGACACACGGAAGGACAAAAUAAAGAAAGAAAGGGCUGGCAGUAAAGAGAGCAACUCUUCCUGUAACCAACUUGAUAAUAGUGAUUCCGACUUGAAACCUUCAUCUGUCUUUCUUAAGGAGAAGUCACUCACAGUUAAAGUAGAUGUGAAGCAAGGACAGAAUAAAUCUAGGGUUGCUUCUAGCUAUUCCACAGAGAGACAGAUGUCACAUGAUUUGGUUGCUGUUGGCAGGAAAAGUGAAAAGUUUCAUCCAGUGUUUGAACAUCUUGACUCAACUCAGAAUACUGAAAACAAACCUACAGGAGAAUUUGCUCAGCAAAUCAUAACUAUAAUCCAUCAAGUUAAAGCAAAUUAUUUUCCAUCACCUGAAAUAACUCUGCAUGAGCGUUUCUCAAAAAUUCAAGUUAAAAAAGCUGAAGAUGUAAAUGAAACUAAGUUGAGCUCGGAUCCAGAAAUUCACAGGAGAAUAGAUAUGUCUUUGGCCGAGCUUCAGAGUAAACAAACUAUGGUAUAUGACUCAAAACAGACUCUGGUCAAAAUAAUAGAUCCAAGUGACCUACGACAUGACAUUGAAAGAAGGAGAAAAGAACGGUUACAGAAUGAAGAUGAGCACAUUUUUCACAUAGCUAGUGCUGCAGAGAGGAGUGAUCAGCAUUCCAGUUUUUCAAGGUCAAAGGAUACUCAUGUUGAUGAAUUCCAAAAACCUACAUCUUUUGAAAAAUCAAAUUUUAGAAAAUUUAUUCAGAAACCUUGCUCGAGUGAUACUAUGCAGAAAAAAGAUGUCAUUACUCACAGACCAUUUGUUGAGGAAAACAAUCAAAAUACAAGAGGCUUUAGAAGACCUUUUAAGACCAACUUUAGAGGUGGCAGAUUUCAUUUCCAACAUAAAUCAGACCUAGUACAGAAGAGCUUGUACAUUCAGGCUAAAUAUCAGCGUUUACGGUUCGCUGGUCCAAGGGGAUUUAUCACUAAUAAAUUCAGAGAAAGAUUACUGAGGGGAAAAAAGCAGAUCUUCUAGGCAUGCGUCCCCAGUCAAAGGUGGCAGCCUGGCUGUUCUCAGGGAAGCUGGUCAUUGAUCCCCACUCGAGAAGGAAGGCUGAGGCAAGCCUUUUCCUCAAUUGCAAGGAAUAUACAAACAUUGACCCAGCAAUCUAAUCGGAAAUUGUUAUAAAUGGAAACGACACUACAGGACGAUAUUUGGGAGCAUCUUUUUAUCAAGAGUUAGAAUUGGCACUAAAGCACUAAUACUGUAACUUUCUUGAUAAAAUAAUUUUAUUUUUCUGUAGUGGAAUGCUGCAACUUUUUUACACCUAACAAUUGCUUUUAAAUUACAGUAUUCAAUUUAAAAGUUGUAUUAACUACAGCUUCUUUUGCAAAAAGUCUCAAAGGGGCAUUAUUUGUUGAUGCAUUUUUCUCUGAGCAUGGUUUCAUAGAGAAUUGAGUUAUAUCCAGACAUUUCUAUGUUGAAAGUUUUGCUUAUGAAAUAAAACAAAGUAUAAAUUGUAUAGUGUCUGUACAUGAAAGAACUUUAAACAGUGGCCUUACAUAGCAAUUUUUAUAUCAGAUUUUUCUUUUUCUGAUGACAUUUUGGCUUACAACUUGAAGUUUUCUUAAGCUUCUGAAGAUCGAGGUCUAUAUACUUCAUACAUUUCAUAUUAUGACAUAAGAAAGCGCAAAAAAGGUGCUUCAAAUUUUCCAUCAGGUAGUUAUGAGUGCACUGAAUUUUUAGUAAUUGGUUAAUUCAAUUUUUUUUCCACAACUAUUUGUUCUUUUCCAGUUUCAAAAUGCUAUUGUGAAAAAUACAUAAAGGUUUUAUAAUCUAUAUAUUCCAUCUUACUUUCCCUCAGGGUAAGCUUGUGCGUAUCAUAUUUUUAAAGGCUUUUAAAAAAUUGACAGACAAAAAUCUCAUAUUUGGAAAUUGUACUUUACUACAGCAUUACACAUUUUGCAAGCACAUAUUAUAAAGUUUUCAGUUCAGUUGUAUUGAGUACCUACAAUGUGUAAGAUAACAUCGAUGGGACUUUCAAUGAUAUUUUAAGUCUCAAUACCUUGUUUCUUUGUUUUCUGUGUUCUGCUUAAUAAUAAUAUACAUUCCCACUUACAUUUUUGUCAAAUGUUUAAUUGUAAUGAAAUAAAAUACUAUUGCUCCUUC